CCUACGGGGGACAGCAGUGGGGAAUAUUGGGCAAUGGGCGCAAGCCUGACCCAGCAACGCCGCGUGAAGGAAGAAGGCUUUCGGGUUGUAAACUUCUUUUCUCAGGGACGAAGCAAGUGACGGUACCUGAGGAAUAAGCCACGGCUAACUACGUGCCAGCAGCCGCGGUAAUACGUAGGUGGCAAGCGUUAUCCGGAUUUACUGGGUGUAAAGGGCGUGUAGGCGGGAAAGCAAGUCAGAUGUGAAAACCAUGGGCUCAACCUGUGGCCUGCAUUUGAAACUGUUUUUCUUGAGUACUGGGGAGGCAGACGGAAUUCCUAGUGUAGCGGUGAAAUGCGUAGAUAUUAGGAGGAACACCAGUGGCGAAGGCGGUCUGCUGGACAGCAACCGACGCUGGGGCGCGAAAGCGUGGGGAGCAAACAGGAUUAGAUACCCGAGUAGUC
rnacentral:rRNA from 1 species